rnacentral:rRNA from 1 species
CCUACGGGAGGCAGCAGUCGAGAAUCAUUCACAAUGGGGGAAACCCUGAUGGUGCGACGCCGCGUGGGGGAAUGAAGGUCUUCGGAUUGUAAACCCCUGUCAUGUGGGAGCAAAUUAAAAAGAUAGUACUACAAGAGGAAGAGACGCCUAACUCUGUGCCAGCAGCCGCGGUAAUACAGAGGUCUCAAGCGUUGUUCGGAAUCACUGGGCGUAAAGCGUACGUAGGCAGUUGCGUCAGUCGUGUGUGAAAGGCCCGGGCUCAACCCGCGGACGGCACAUGAUACUGCAGGACUAGAGUAAUGGAGGGGGAACCGGAAGUCUUGGUGUAGCAGUGAAAUGCGUAGAUAUAGGGAGGAACACUCGUGGCGAAGGCGGGUUCCUGGACAUUAACUGACGCUGAGGCACGAAGGCCAGGGGAGCGAAAGGGAUUAGAUACCCGGGUAGUC